GACGAACGCUGGCGGCGUGCUUAACACAUGCAAGUCGAACGAGUGGCGAACGGGUGAGUAAUACGUCAGUAACCUGCCCUCUUUUUGGGAUAAGCUUUGGAAACGGGGCCUAAUACCGGAUAAUGGGGGAUGGGCUCGCGGCCUAUCAGCUUGUUGGUGGGGUUGUGGCCUACCAAGGCGGUGGCGGGUAGCCGGCCUGAGAGGGUGAGCGGACACGUUGGGGCUGGGAUACGGCCCAGACUCCUACGGGAUGCAGCAGUGUGCGGUGUUGCGCAAUGGGCGAAGGCCUAAUGCGGCGACGCAGCGUGGGGGAUGAAGGCUUUCGGGUGGUAAGCCUCGUUCGCUAUCGAACCGGUAGGUGGAGAAGAAGCGCCGGCUAACUACGUGCCAGCAGCCGCGGUAAUAC
rnacentral:rRNA from 1 species